UUGAUUUUUCCCCCAUGAUUCAACCACUUCGAUUUUAUCUCGUGCGUGGGUUGUUGGCUUUUUUGGGAUCCUUUCUCGCCUCACCAAUCGCAUCCGUAUCAAAACUUUUCAAAAUCUAAAGCGAUAAAUCAAAACUUUCCCUUGCCCGUUUCCUACACGCAUGUUCCUUCUCCAGCAUAUCUCAAUCGAAUCAAAGAGAAACCACAUAUGUUUUCUCAUGCACAGAAUCAUAUCCCAAUGGCUCGGUAUGUGAUAAAAUCAUGGAGACCUUCCAUUGACGACGAGUACUUGUAGCCGGAGCUUGGAAACACGAGGCAAGAAGGUAGCGCUAAGCCGUUUCAUAUACCAGCACGUGGGCUUCAGAACCCAGAGAUCUUCCUGAUGGGGUCUCCUAGCCGCCAUAGGACAUGUAGUAUACGUAGGGCUGGAUGCCGCCAUAGGACCUCGAGUAUAGGUUGAGGGUGUCCGUGCUCCGCCAGAGCACGCACCAUCGCGAGGUGGGUACAGUGGUACAUGCGGCGUCUCUGGCUGGGAGGAAGGAGAUGACGCAUGCGAUCAGGUGGAAGAGACGCCGGAGAAAUCUCUACUCCUAAUGGACGAGUUCGUACGUCGUUCGUUUGUUGGUUCGUUCUCCUCCACCCCUCUCGAUAGGUCUCCCACCUCCACCAAUUUUUUCCAGUCCCACCGAUUUUCUCUCGGCCCACCGAACGAAGGAUCUAACCACCAUCGAUUUUUCUCCCACGAUUCAACCACUCUGAUUUUAUCUCGUGCGUGGGCUGUUGGCUUUUUUGGGAUCCUUUCUCGCCUCACCAAUCGCAUCCGUAUCAAAACUUUCCAAAAUCUAAAGCGAGAAAUCAAAACUUUCCCUUGCCCAUUUCCUACACGCAUGUUCCUUCUCCAGCACAUCUCAAUCGAAUCAAAGAGAAACCACAUAUAUUUUCUCAUGGACAGAAUCAUAUCCAAAAGGCUCGGUAUGUGAUAAAAUCAUGGAGACCUUCCAUUGACGACGAGCACUUGUAGCCGGAGCUUGGAAACACUAGGCAAGAAGGCAGCGCUAAGCCGUUUCAUAUACCAGCACGCGGGCUUCAGAACCCAGAGAUCUUCCUGAUGGGGUCUCCUAGCCGCCGUAGGACAUGUAGUAUACGUACGGCUGGAUGCCACCGUAGGACCUCGAGUACAGGUUGAGGGUGUUUGUGCUCCGCCAGAGCACGCGCCAUCACGAGGUGGGUACAGCGGUACAUGCGGCGUCUCUGGCUGGGAGGAAGGAGAUGACGCAUGUGAUCAGGUGGAAGAGACGCCAGAGAAACGAUUGGAAGCAGCCAUAUCGAUUGUCAGCGAGAAGACAGAGAAGGAGUCACAAGCGGUGGUAGAGUACAAACUCCAGUACGUGGUGGCGAAGGUCACGUCCGUAGAGGAGUACAAGCUCCAAGUCAAGAUCAUAUGGGAAGCCGUGGGAACCAGGCAAGCCAAAUUUCACCGGUGCCGGUGAGGGAGAAGGUUGGUGGGCAUCAUCUAAGUGUGUCCAGUGAUCGUGAGCAUGUCAUAGACAAAAGACUGGAUAAAGUAUGGGCAAAGAGGAAGGAGGAUGUGCUGCUGAGGUACGUACACACCGGUCAGAGCCGGACGCCAAUUACAGCGAGUAUACUUUUGUUGCAUGAUUGCACCCAUACUAUCACUUUUAUGACUUACAUGAAUUUUGGAAAUUUACCCGUUCUCCUCUUUCUUAUUUACAUUGUUAUUUGCCAUACAAAGAGGUCCAUCAGCACUUCUUGAAGUUUUUUAUUGUGAGAAAAAGAUUACGAUUUUUUUCUAAAAAGAAUUUAGUGCUACUUAGUUUGUUCAUCAUAAUGCUUCUGGACCAAAGUACCGGUUGUAGGUCACAUGCAACUUUGAGGGUGUACCGAGAGGAUAGCUUUUGGCAAGAUGCAAUUACAUAGAUUUUUUCGCGAGAAGGUGUCGUCUUUCUCAUCAUGUUAUUUUUCUUCUAAUAUUGGCAAGUAGCAUAAAUCAGGUUCUGCACUCUUCCAACAAAUAUAAGCUGCUUUUUUUGCAAGGUAUAUAAGCUGCUUUCUUUACUUCUCAAUUCAUUUUAAUUUUAGACCACACUAAUAUACUCUCUAUUUAUUGUGUAGUAUUGAUAGAUGAAGUGAGAGCUGCAUGUCCCGACCUGGAGCAUAUGCUAAUAUCCUCCUUAACUGUGGCUGAUCUAGAGUUUAUACCAUAUCACGAGAGUAGCUCCUUCCUCUAAUUUUGGGACUGUGGCAGCCUCAUUGCACUGCAUCUCCUUAAACUAUAAGCACACUUGGUCUUUUGUAACACCCUCGAUGUGACUAUAGCUCCCACGUGUCGAGGCUCGACUUAGAGACAUAAUCGCAUUGAAGGCAUAUGUCGCAAGAGAGGUAAUCUUCGCAAACAACCUAUGUAAUACAUAAGGGAAACGAUACAUAGUUGGCUUACAA